GCAGCAGUGGGGAAUAUUGCACAAUGGGCGAAAGCCUGAUGCAGCCAUGCCGCGUGUGUGAAGAAGGCCUUCGGGUUGUAAAGCACUUUCAGUUGUGAGGAAAGGUGGGUAGUUAAUAGCUGCUCACUGUGACGUUAGCAACAGAAGAAGCACCGGCUAACUCCGUGCCAGCAGCCGCGGUAAUACGGAGGGUGCGAGCGUUAAUCGGAAUUACUGGGCGUAAAGCGUGCGUAGGCGGUUUGUUAAGC
rnacentral:rRNA from 1 species